rnacentral:rRNA from 1 species
GAUGAACGCUGGCGGCGUGCCUAAUACAUGCAAGUCGAGCGAACAGAUAAGGAGCUUGCUCCUUUGACGUUAGCGGCGGACGGGUGAGUAACACGUGGGUAACCUACCUAUAAGACUGGGAUAACUUCGGGAAACCGGAGCUAAUACCGGAUAACAUUUGGAACCGCAUGGUUCUAAAGUGAAAGAUGGUUUUGCUAUCACUUAUAGAUGGACCCGCGCCGUAUUAGCUAGUUGGUAAGGUAACGGCUUACCAAGGCAACGAUACGUAGCCGACCUGAGAGGGUGUUCGGCCACACUGGAACUGAGACACGGUCCAGACUCCUACGGGAGGCAGCAGUAGGGAAUCUUCCGCAAUGGGCGAAAGCCUGACGGAGCAACGCCGCGUGAGUGAUGAAGGGUUUCGGCUCGUAAAACUCUGUUAUUAGGGAAGAACAAACGUGUAAGUAACUGUGCACGUCUUGACGGUACCUAAUCAGAAAGCCACGGCUAACUACGU